CUGGGUGGAGUUACAAAAAUGAUUUGGUGAUCUGUGUUGUUACUUCUAUCUUCAAAAUGGUGGUAGAUAUAGUUCUCAGUUGGUGGUAAGAAAGAGGGACUGUUAUGGAGCAUCAUCUAUUGAAUGCCUUUUUUGGUUCCUCUAAAGCAAUCAUGUGGCAUAGGAUGUGGGGUAUCACGUUGAUGGUACAGGAGGAGGGGGAAGAAGCUUGGAAAAGAAAUUGCCACUCCUUGACAGAAAAAAUGGAGCCCACCAUGUUUGUAGCUUGAAUGAAAUUUACUAAUUUGAUAUAAUGCAUCUGUAGCUUGAAUGGAAAAGGUAAAAGAGUUGUGCUUGUAGGCUAUUUAGACAUGCUUUUUCUUUUUCUAACUUGCUAUUAAUUAUCCUUUUUAUUUGAUGUCUAACAGCUCUUCUCAGCUGUAUAUAUUCCAAGGACCAUCUGAGUUGAUGCCACUUAAAGAAAAGUAAAUGUAGUUACAACAAUGGCUCAGAACAAAAGCCAAGGGCCGAAGACAAGCUCAAAGAAAAGAAAAGUAAAGAAACCAAAAGGCUACAAAGGACACCACCAGACUUGAAAAGGAUUCUAUCUUCUUGUGAUUCAAGAUUGCCUGAUCAAUGCGACUGUGCAACUUCAGAAGGAACUGUCUGCUCUGCAAUCUGAAUUGGAUCGGAUCCAAUUCUUACUGAAAAUUGCUAAUCCGACAAGAGAAGCUGCUCGGAGGAGGGAUUCAAAAGCCCAGACAUCAAAAUCUAACCAGCCAGAUAUUCCUGUUUCCAACGUCACAAAAAAGGCUUUUAGUGGAGCAAAAGAAAAGCUCUACGCUAGCAAAGCCUGCAAAUGGUUCCUCCCAUAAAGAUAAAAGUCUUACCUUAGAAACAAGUAAACCUCCGGAAGGUGAUAAAGAUGUUAGUGACGGCAUAGAAAGCAAAGUGGCCACAUACACGGUCACAAAGCCUAUAUGGCUUGGUGCUACAGAGGACAUGUAAGUGAAAGAGAAGCAACAUGUACAUGAUGAAGCGCCACAAAAAAU